rnacentral:rRNA from 1 species
GAAGCAAAGACCGCGAGGUAGAGCAAAUCUCAAAAAAACAAUCUCAGUUCAGACUGCAGGCUGCAACUCGCCUGCACGAAGUCGGAAUUGCUAGUAAUCGUAGGUCAGCAUACUACGGUGAAUACGUUCCCGGGCCUUGUACACACCGCCCGUCAAACCAUGAGAGUUGGCAACACCCGAAGUCGGUAGUCUAACCGCAAGGAGGACGCCGCCGAAGGUGGGGUUGAUGAUUAGGGUUAAGUCGUAACAAGGUAAC